rnacentral:misc_RNA from 1 species
UCUCCGUUGGUGAACCAGCGGAGGGAUCAUUGCUGGAAUAACACGCCUUCACAGGCGUGAACCCAGAUAACCCUUUUGUGAAUCUUACCUAUUCGUUGCCUCGGUUUUGGUUGGCUUUCUUCUAAUAGAAGCCCCCGCUGUUUUAUUACAGCGGGAGCAGACCGGCCGGUGGCCCCCUAAACUCUUUAUUUUUGUAACGCCAUUCUGAGUACUAUAAAAAAAAAAUGAAUCAAAACUUUCAACAACGGAUCUCUUGGUUCUGGCAUCGAUGAAGAACGCAGC